CAUGCCCAGUGAUCCAGGAGGACUGCGCGGACAGAUCUGCCGGCGCCCUGUCUGGGAAUUGGCAAGCGGCGGCGCCUGGCAGGACUGGACCAACUCUGGCGCAGGGUCCUGGGGGCCUCGUGGGUUGAGACCACCUCGGUUUGGGACAUGCUGGCUUGAGCCUGGGGUCCUGGCAUGGAAUUCCUAACAGCCUCCCAACCUCCUCCAGGAUCUCCAGCCUCCCAACCUCCUCCAGGAUCUCCAGCCAUGGAGUUGGAGGAACCCAAGGAUACACUUUUGCCCUCUCAGGAUCUCUCCUCUGAUUGCCAGUGGGACCCAGCGCCAGGAGGCCAUAGCAGCCUGAGUCAAAUGGAACUUGAUGGGCUAAAUAUUCAGGACCUGGUACAACAGUUUGAAGCUCUGCCAGGUGAUCUGGUGGGCCUGUCCCCAGAUGGAGCCCCAUGUCCCCUGCACAUUGCCACUGGCCAUGGUCUGGCCUCACAGGACAUCACCGAUGCCCAUGGGCUCUUGUCUGCUGAGGCUGGCCGCGAUGACUUGCUGAGCCUUUUGCAGCAAGAUGAGUGCCCUCCUUCCCAGUUGUGUCCCCAGGAACCUCUGGACCCUGCUCCUCGCCUGUUGCAGCCCCCUGAGGACCCAGAGGAAGAUGCUGGCCCUCAGGAGUGGGCUGAGGGAGCCUCUGCUGAGCGGGGUGGCAGUGGGAGUUCAAGCAGCUCCCCGGAACCCUGGCUGGAGACAGUACCUCUGGUUGCUCCUGAAGAGCCACCUGCCAAUGUCAAGAGUCCCGAGACCCUGGCUUCAUACCCUGCCCUCCAGGAGGUAUCCGGCCCCUGUGAUCAUGAAGACCUCCUAGAUGGUGUCAUGUUUGGGGCCAAAUACCUGGGCUCCACCCAGCUGGUGUCCGAGCGCAACCCGCCCCCCAGCACACGCAUGGCGCAGGCUCAGGAGGCCAUGGACCGCGUCAAGGCCCCUGAUGGGGAGACUCAGCCCAUGACGGAGGUGGACCUCUUCGUCUCCACCAAGAGGGUCAAGGUUCUGAUGGCCAACUCUCAGGAGGCCAUGAUGGACCACGCCCUGCAGACCAUCUCCUACAUCGCUGACAUUGGCAGCGUGCUGGUGCUCAUGGCCCGGCGGAGGGUGGCCCGGCGUCCGGCACCCCAGGCCCAUAGCCGCCGGCUCUACAAGAUGAUUUGCCACGUGUUCCACUCAGAGGAUGCUCAACUCAUCGCUCAGGCCAUCGGCCAGGCCUUUGCAGUGGCCUACAGUCAGUUCCUGAGGGAAAGUGGGAUCGACCCCAGCCAGGUGGGCACUCAGCAGAGCCAGGGGGCCACAGGCCCCGGGCACCUCCACAACGGGGACCUCGACCACUUCUCCAACAGUGAAAACUGCAGGGAGGUAUGCAUCGAGAAACGCCGGGGCGAGGGUCUGGGUGUGGCCCUGGUGGAGUCGGGUUGGGGCUCCUUGCUCCCCACAGCUGUCAUCGCCAACCUGCUGCAUGGGGGCCCAGCCGAGCGCUCUGGGGCCCUUAGCAUCGGGGACCGCAUCACCGCCAUCAACGGGACCAGCCUGGUGGGGCUUCCCCUGGCCGCCUGCCAGGCCGCCGUCCGCGAAGUGAAGUCGCAGACGCUGGUGACCCUCAGCAUCGUCCACUGCCCUCCCGUCACCACGGCCAUCAUCCGCCGGCCCCACGUCCGCGAGCAGCUGGGCUUCUGCGUAGAGGAUGGCAUUAUCUGCAGCCUUCUCCGGGGUGGUAUCGCCGAGCGCGGGGGCGUCCGAGUGGGACACCGCAUCAUUGAGAUCAAUGGGCACAGUGUGGUGGCCACACCCCACGACCGUAUCAUUGAGCUGCUCACCGAGGCCCAUAUUGAGGUCCACAUCAAGACGAUGCCUGCUGCCACCUACCGCCUGCUCACAGGCCAGGAGCAGCCUGUGUACCUGUGACCCACGACCUUCACCCCCACCACUGUGCCUUAGUCCCCCCAGCCCUGGAACUCCUGCAGACUCGCCUCGGCUGGCCACGGCCCCAAAGCUAUCCCUGGCGUCUGUUGGAGCAACUGAGCCCAGCUAACUCACUGAGUAAAGUCGUUUGGACAGAAACCAUCUGGCCUGCAAAGCCUAAAAUACUUGCCGCCUAGUCCUUUGCAGGAAGAGCUUGUCGACCCUUGGCCUCACUGACACUCCCUUUUACCAAUGAGGAAGCAGGUGCAGAAGGCAUCUUGGCCUGAGAAAAGUUCCCAAGCUAGGGGUUGAAUAGGAGCUGUAGCCACUGGCCUAAGCCAGAGCCACAGCAACGUGGGAUCCAAGCCGCGUCUGCAACCUACACCACAGCUCACGGCAACGCCGGAUCGUUAACCCACUGAGCAAGGGCAGGGACCGAACCCGCAACCUCAUGGUUCCCAGUCGGAUUCGUCAACCACUGCGCCACGACAGGAACUCCUAUUCUCACUCUUAAAAGCUCGACGUACAUUCAGAUUUCUAGACUCUCAUUGGCCUUGGGGUAGACAUUAAGUACAUGGCCUUUUAUGUUUAAGCCUUUUUGGUCUGGAUGUUGGAGCAGCAGCUGAAGAGCAGCUCGGCCCUUUCCCAUUCUGGGUCACCUGUUAUUCCCCUCCUCCCGCUGCCGUUUUCUUUAAAAGCCUCUGCACCUGGUUUUAAUCCUUCUGCUCUGAGGCUGUGGGCAAGUGCUUAUUCUUGGCUCCUCCUGAAAUCUGGAUGAGGUGUAUUUUUACCCCUGUUCUCAGGUAGGUAAAGAAUCUAUGUGAUGGAUUUGUGCAUUUGUAUUUUCAUCCUGUAGUAACCAGAAGUGGGUAUUUUGGGUGGAAAAGGGAGGUACGGACUGUGGCUUCU